rnacentral:rRNA from 1 species
GAUGAACGCUGGCGGCGUGCUUAACACAUGCAAGUCGAACGAUGAAGCCCAGCUUGCUGGGUGGAUUAGUGGCGAACGGGUGAGUAACACGUGAGCAACCUGCCCCUGACUCUGGGAUAAGCGCUGGAAACGGCGUCUAAUACUGGAUGUGUCCCGUCACCGCAUGGUGUGCGGGUGGAAAGAUUUUUCGGUUGGGGAUGGGCUCGCGGCCUAUCAGCUUGUUGGUGAGGUAAUGGCUCACCAAGGCGUCGACGGGUAGCCGGCCUGAGAGGGUGACCGGCCACACUGGGACUGAGACACGGCCCAGACUCCUACGGGAGGCAGCAGUGGGGAAUAUUGCACAAUGGGCGGAAGCCUGAUGCAGCAACGCCGCGUGAGGGAUGACGGCCUUCGGGUUGUAAACCUCUUUUAGCAGGGAAGAAGCGAAAGUGACGGUACCUGCAGAAAAAGCACCGGCUAACUACGUG